rnacentral:rRNA from 1 species
UGUGUAGGCGGAAGAUUAAGUCAGUGGUGAAAUCCUGCAGCUUAACUGUAGAACUGCCAUUGAAACUGAUUUUCUUGAGUACGGUUGAGGUAGGCGGAAUGUGUAAUGUAGCGGUGAAAUGCUUAGAUAUUACACAGAACACCGAUUGCGUAGGCAGCUUACUAAACUGGUACUGACGCUGAGGCACGAAAGCGUGGGGAGCGAACAGGAUUAGAUACCCUGGUAGUCC